rnacentral:lncRNA from 1 species
AAAGCAGUUGAAUAUGCUGUCAAGAAACCCUAUGGACAGUAUGGGGUCAUGAAGAUUCAAAUAUGAGGUUAAAGUGAAAUAAAACAUAUACAAUAUUAUGGUCAUUUUGAGAGGUAGCUCAGUGUGGUGGAUGGAAGAUGACCUUGAAGUAAGGAAAACCUGGGUUCAUCCUCCUGCCUCACCUCUUUACUAGUUGUGUGACCCUAGUGCCCAUGAAUGUCACAGCUGUCAAACGUC